CUCAUCACAUAGAUCAAUGACCAACUUCACGUUUUCAGAACUUGUAAUUAUAAUGACAAUUCUUAGGCAUUCGCAAGCUCAAAAUUCAACAACACUUAGUCACUCACCAUUACCAAAAACCACAAUUCAUACAAUUGCUUCAAGCAUCCAAUAUUUGCAAAUUAAAGAUAGAAAAAAUUUAUACUUACAUGCAUAUGCUUGACUCCAAAUACUCACCAAAUUAUUCUACUCUACUAAUAUCGAAUAUUAAGCUAUUGGGAUCAUUGGGGCUUUGUGGCUUUCAAUUGUUAGGCUCUUUGGUUCGAGGUAGGAAAUAUGGGUAUGUGUGGCUAUUCUUCUUGAAUUUAGGUGAUUACGCCAAAAUUUGAAAGAUAGGCGUUUGAAACAAUGAAUUCACCUCUACGGACUUUAGUAAACUCGAUUCUCAAAAGUUCAAAGGUCUCCACUUUUUCUUUUGAGGCAAGGGGUCGAGUUUUCAAAAAUAAUUCAC
rnacentral:lncRNA from 1 species